AUUGAACGCUGGCGGCAGGCCUAACACAUGCAAGUCGAGCGGAUGACGGGAGCUUGCUCCUUGAUUCAGCGGCGGACGGGUGAGUAAUGCCUAGGAAUCUGCCUGGUAGUGGGGGACAACGUUUCGAAAGGAACGCUAAUACCGCAUACGUCCUACGGGAGAAUGCAGGGGACUUUCGGGCCUUGCGCUAUCAGAUGAGCCUAGGUCGGAUUAGCUAGUUGGUGGGGUAAUGGCUCACCAAGGACACGAUCCGUAACUGGUCUGAGAGGAUGAUCAGUCACCCUGGAACUGAGACACGGUCCAGACUCCUACGGGAGGCAGCAGUGGGGAAUAUUGGACAAUGGGCGAAAGCCUGAUCCAGCCAUGCCGCGUGUGUGAAGAAGGUCUUCGGAUUGUAAAGCACUUUAAGUUGGGAGGAAGGGCAGUAAGUUAAUACCUUGCUGCUUUGACGUUACCGACAGAAUAAGCACCGGCUAAUUCUGUGCCAGCCGCCGCAGUAA
rnacentral:rRNA from 1 species